CUUCCCGGUGAGCCCAGAGCCCGACUUGGGGCUCGUUCUCGGACCGUGAGAUCACGACCUGAGCUGAAACCAAGAGUUGGAUGCUUAACUAACAAAGCCAUCCAGGUGCCCCUUUGCUGUUUUCUUGAUGCACAUGUUUUCCUAGGGGAUGGAUCUGAGCUUUCAUCUGAUGCCCUGCCUUCCGAAGUGGCCCAUUCCUUAAUGAUCUUAACUAAUUCCGUUAUAGUCAUUGUUUAACUCUCCAGAAAUUUACUGUGCAUCUUAGUUGGUGGGGGCCACUGCGGUCCAGGAGUUGUAAAUGCUCUGCUCAUUUGGACCGUCAGGCCUACUUCUUCCUUUCCAAGGCUUCCAGGCUUGUGGUGGAACGAGGCCCACCUGAUGGGAAUCUACUCCUUGCUCCUGGGCCAGGGGAAAUCAGUCUGCAGGCAGAGAGGAAUUCCCAUUUAGCCUGAAGCACACGCUUCCCGUGCUUCUAGGACCAGCUGCAUUCCACCCGUGAUGCUAUAAAAACACAGGAAGGAAGGGAAACGUGUUCACAGGUUGGUUAGAGAUUUUAAGCCGACAAUCAGGUCUCUUGUAGCCACAAGGGACCAGAAUCCACUCCUGGCUCUUGGUCAGUUAGGCCCGCAGCUCAGCCCCACAGGGCGCCCUUUCAAAAGUGCAGUAAGAUUCUCUUUGCUAAUGGCUUUUUCCGUGAACCUCAGCCAGUGAGUAUAUUCUUUGAGGAUUACAAUUGGACUAACGCACUCAGGAAUCUUUAGAGAGAAGCAUCAUUUUGUCCUCAAGCUGUUUGAAGGCCACUGAGGCUUGGAACCUUCCAGAGACUAACUGGAGGAGGGCAUCCGAAAGCGUCCGGUAAGUGAACAACAACCCUUCCUUGGACGCUGCUUUUGUCAAGAGUCUGUCCGUGCGGUCAGGAGAGAGACCCACAGGCAGAAGGCCCCAGUAAGCCAGCGUGGUGACUUUGGGAGAGUCGCUUGACUACCCCAGCCCCUGCUUUCCUCCUUUACAGACCGAAGGCGUUGGCUUACCAGGAUUUUAAAGUUUCUUCCACUGUAAAAAUUCUGAUUCUUGAGCUUGCAUUCAAAGAAAUGACUGGCUCUGUUAUUCAUUCAGAUAGUUUCGGGAUCACUGUACAAUCGCUGUGGGGGCUAGAGAUUGGGGCCCCCAGAAGAGAGAAUGGAAAAAGAUUUGAGGUUCAAGGUGAGCUCUGGUAACUGGGACUCCUGCUUCAGAACGAUUCACAUUUGGUUGUCAGGCUCCCUGCGGAAGGUCCUUAAUCCUUGAGGCUUUAGAAAAACUCUGAUGACCAGACCUCAGACCAGUGACUUCAGAAUUUCUGCAGGGGGGGGCCCUGGGAAUCAGUAUUUCAAAGUUCUCCUGGUGAUUGUGGUGUGUAGCCAGGAUGCAGAAUCACAGAACCUAGAUCUUAUGUAAAGCUGUGCUUCGGUGUUACCGCGUCUGUUCUGGGGGGAGGGGGAGUGAUCGUGGUUGCUUAAAAAAUAAACAAAAAGUGAAUGCACACAGCAGUGUUCUAGAUUCUCGAAGCAUGUUGGUUUGGCGAUCACAGCUGCCGCUACCCUGAGGUUUAGAGCUCCAGUUCUCUUGUAUCUCUGGGUCAGUGGUUUCUCAGCAUCUCUGCAGUAGUGGAACCAUCUGUAGUCGGUUAUUUCUGCUAAGGAAACUCCGAGUACUGAGUGGGGGGCGGAGCCAGGGCAGGGGUGGAGCCCAGAUGGAUUAAACAGGCCAUUACACACACCCACAUUUUUUUUUCCCCCCAAGAAACAAGGUCAGAAGCCUUGGCCAGUGUUGGCGUACCUUUGUGUCAGAUCCUUGGCAGUGCCCCGGUGGAUUCCAGGGGCUAUGGAAGCAUGUAGGCUGCUCUCUGUGCUCCGGUGACCGUGGUCCUGCCCUUGGUUGAGGGCCUCUGCCACUUCAGCUGUAACAUGUAAACUCCCGUCUGCGCCUGGUUGUUAGUGGUUCCCUGCAGGGCGUCCGUCCCUGCGGCCUAAGAAAUCUGAUGGGGCACAGCUGUCCGGGUUAAACAUUAAUGGAAAGGGCCCGGGUGGGAAAGGACAGCUAAGUGAAUCUCUUUCAGGUGGUGGUUCAGAAUGCAAAGGUGACUGCUUAAGUUGGUGUGAAAUGAGCCACAGGAGAAAGGAAAACUUGUCAGUUCUGAUCAACUCCAAAGAGUUUCACAAAGUGGGGGGAUGUUCCAGGAGGUUCUAAAAUGACAAAAUUUGAGAAGCAGCUGUAGACACAUGGGCCAGACGUAAGUUGCCGUUUUUGAGGUGAAUGAAGAGUGCAUCAGUCAAGUAUUUAUGAAGCUGAGAAAUGGGAAAUAUGGCCCCUGUCCCUAAAAAGCCUGCGGUCUCCCUGCGGGCUGGGUACCUAAGUUUGGGGUGUAGUCGAGAAGGCCUUCUCUGCUAUGGUCACAUGGUGAGUACUGGGGUGUUCAGAGGGAGGCGGGGAUGGGACAAAUGCAUCAAGGACUGUGGGUCUGAGCCAGUGAAAGGCCACCCCACUGUUGUGCAGAUCUCCCCACCCCACUUUCAACAUGAUGUCGAUGGUUUUGGGGGAGCAGCCCUGGAGGGCUCCCACUUGCUAGCAGGAAUGACUUUCUGUUCUUGCCCUCAUCAACAUUCUUUGCUUUCAAGAGUAAAUUUUCCUUUAGCAAAGGAAAUUUAGUGAAUUUCCUUUCAAAACUUUCUGCAAGGGAGGGGUGGUCUUUGCCAGGCCCCUGCUUUGAUGACUACCAUCUGCCCACCUUAAUUUUCUGCAUAGUUUCAGUUGGAAAGUCUUGCUUUGCUGGACUCAGAAACACCGUGUAAUAUGAUUGUUCUUGGUUCCGGUAUCCACCCGGCCCCCUCUCCACGCAGUGGAGGCUGCGUGUCAGGUAUGGAUGGGAAGCAUUAUCUGUGCAUCAGAAAACUCAAGUUUGUCCUGUGAGCAAGUUGUGUGACUGUCAGUAAAUGCUGGGACUGGCUUUGUUAGGCCCCGGCUGUGGCCAAGGCUGUUAUUUCUCUGUGGGUAAUUACUCCAGGCUUCACGGUCACGAGCUGAGUGUAAUCGGGGGCAGAUAAGAAAGUUAUAUAUAGAGCAAAGUACAUAUUUCUAAAGGUAGGUAGCAGAGGCAUUAUAUAUAUGUGUGUGUGUGUGUGUGUGUGUGUGUGUGUGUGUGUGUUUAAAAAAAGACCUAUAUUUUCUGGGCAGCAGAAUUUAAGUUUCCAGUAAACAUCUCCCUCCCUUGUUACUUCACCUUUUUAAUUUUGUGUUUAUGGUCUCUGUGCUUUGAAAUUGUUUGGCUGUGAGGCCAGCCCUGCCUGAAACGGGUGGAGCAGGCCAGGCCCUUUGGAAGCCAUGGUUUAGGUCAGAGUUCUUAGAGUUCCUCUGACCAGCUGACUGGCAGCUCAGAUGUGAUUACUCGAGCUCAUCUAGAAUAAAAAUAGAAACCUUGAGCCUGGGGGGGAGGGGGCGGGGAUAUGCAUUUAUUAGUUUAUUCCCCAUUACCACAUUGACUGCAGGAAGAAUCCUGUGUGUGUCGUUCCGGGCCGGGGUCGGCUUUUCUCUGUUCCCUGUUUGCCCAUGUGGAGGCCUCUGCUCUGGAAACCACAACCUCCCAGAGCCCCAAGCCUGGGACUAAUUUUUGGCGGGGCGCACGCUAGGUUUAGCUGUUGCUGGGCAGAAGUGGCCUCUCCCGGUGGAUUUUCGGGGGGUGGGGUGGGGGGGUCACGUUGUUCUUUCUUAGCUGUGGUUGUCAGCUGGGGAGACAGGGAAGGCUGGAAGGUGAUCGGGAGAAGCCGGGGAGAAAACCCACAAAAGCAGCAGAGCCGGCCACGGCUGUGUGGUGGGGGUGGCAGCGGAGGAAACACAGUGGUGUUUUGCUGCUUUUCCACACCACUUCCAGUUCAGGGCUGCUGGGAAGACCAUUUCAGAAGUGCCCCCCACCCCCAACAAUAGAGGGAGCAGCCGCUCUGGGGUGAGGAAGGAAGCUGCUUGUGCGAGCAGUCUGCACCUGGGAGCAUGUGGCGUGGCCGGGCCUGACCUCAUCCCUCUGUCAGGGUCCCCUUGCUCUGGACAGAGAGGGCCCAGGGAAACGAGAAAGGGGCGGUCUUCCCCUAGAGACCCUCAGCCCCUGACCCGUGCAGUUCCCAGGAGACGCCCCCAUGAAGCAUGACCUAAAGCGAGCGGUCCUGAGUGUGAGCUCGCCCAACAGUUUUCUUUUGCAAAGUGGGUUUGGUUUUUUGUUUGUUGGGGUGUGUAUGGGAGAAUGGCUGCUUUGGGCCCUUGGUUCUGAAGAAGCCAGGCUACGAUCAUGGCUGCUUUUUUCAACAAAAUCUCCUUUUCCCUCGAAGCCUCUUGGGGAUUGUGACUAGCAGGAAAACGAGCCACAUUUUCUUCUGUGACCUUCUUCAUGUUCAACGUCAUGGUGGGAUGAUGGCCAGUGUCCUUGUAGAGCUGGCCGAGCCAUUUCCCACUGUCCUGUCUUGAGACAGCGUUGGGUGGAGACAGGGCAGAGGGGCUUGCCCCUAUUUUGUGGGUGACCAGGGACCAUUUACAUGUGAGUGGAGGAGCAGGGACUGAGGCUCUUCCCCUAGUCCUUUGUCAGAGCGGUUCUUGGACUAUGCUGUGUGGCCUCAAAUAAAUGUACAUGCCUGUGUUCUCAACAUAGCCCUCAGAGGAUCAUGGAUUCUUGCCCAGCGGCUGUCACAGGGAAGGGGGCACGGCCACCAUGAUCUAUGCAGUAUUUUGCAGUGUACAGAGCAGUUCACAGACAUCUCAGUUCACCUCCGUGACAGUCCCUGGAAAUAGAUGUGAGUCUAGGUGAGCAAAUGGACAGCCGGAGGCCCUGAAUGACUUGGCCCAGUGGUGAGUGGGUGGCAUUGGCUGAAUGCCCUGAAGGGGGAAGCGAGAGUCCAGUGGAGCUGUGGGUGGUGCAACUAGUGAUUGGAGGCGGUAGGCUUGGCUCUUCUUGUCACAGAAGCCAUGCAGGGUCCUGGUUCCUGAGCGGGAGCCUCUCAGAGGGCCUGCUUGUGCUCACCCUGUGCCGCAUGGAAGCCUGGACCAGCGUGUGAGGAAGAGGCACACCCAGGUCAAGUGAAGGGCCCCCUGAGGGAGUGGUGACAGGCUGCAUGGGAGUGGCUGAAAUUGGGGUUCACCCUACUCAGGGUGGGGCAUUCCUGUUCAAGAGGUGAACUUCAAAGGGCGUGUCCGGGAAUAUGGCGGUUUGGAUCAUGGCGCCCUUCCUGGUGUGGGAGGAAGAUCGAGGAGUCUGGACUCUGACAGAUUUGUUGAAAACCCCAGCUCUGCUAUCUAGUGGCUGUGGGCUCCUGGGACAGUCACUUCAACACUGCGAACCUCAACUUGGGGAUCCUCAGUAUGUCCUUCAGAAGCUUGAGUCCCUGCUACAGUAUGGGGCAUAUAACAGUUACUCUUCUGGUCAGAAGCAACUUGACAGGUCCUUUAGUCCAGCCCCUUCAUUGACAGAUGGGGAAACUAAGGCCCUGAAUGGUGUGAUGAGUAGCCCAAGAUUGUAGUGAAUUAGUGGCAAAGCCAGAGUUAGGACCAGGUUUCUUGAUCCCAGGCCUGGGUGUUUUGUUCAUUUGCUUGUGCUUUGCAUGAACCUGGGGUGGUUUUUCUUGCUCGUUCACACCCUCACGAAUUUCCCUGAGUAGUUAGUUGUCUUAUGAGGUAAAAAGUCCAUUAACACGCAUAAAAGAACACGCAAGGCCUCUGAUGUCAGCUUUUUGGGGCGAGGAGCCGGGGUGGGAGACCAGGGUAGGGAGCUAACACUUUCAUAUGCUUGUCUGUUGUGAACCAUCAGCUGAAUCCUUGUUUUCUAAGUGUGUUUGAUGGUAAGCAGGGUUCAGCUGCUGAGACCGUCCACUCAGGGUCUUGGAAAGUACACUUAGGUUUCUCUUAAAUAGCCUCCAUGUUUCUCUCCACUGCAUUCCCACCCCCAUUCCUCCAGCACUUUCGAUCCUCUUUGACUUGGGGUUGGAAGUAGCCCAUCAUAGGGGUAAGCCUCCAGUCCAUUUUGUGUGGUGCUGCUGGGCUAAAAUAUUAUCAACACACCACCAAGCUGUGCUUCGUCCAAGGUUAAGACCCUCCUUCCCCACUUGAGUUUUGGAUUAUCUGCCGUGGGGUUCGGUCUUGAGCUCAGUGAGGGAGGCUAAUGGUUCCAGUGCAGGAACCCAGGAUUUCUUAUUUCGUUACCAUCUGGUUUCACGGAGUCUGUUUCUUUUGAUUUUCCUCUCCCUCUUGGGAGAGGCAAAUCCCAGAAUGGUGUAAAAAUAAGAUACCCCCUCACCCCCACCUCCAGCACUGCAGGUGCACACACAUGGCCGCCAUGUUGCUUGUUGGACAGGGCUGAGCAGAGUCCUCCCGGUUUUUGAACAUCCUCGUGUAUGAUUCCUGUCUCCCGGCCUCCGGGCCCUGUCCCCUCUGAAGGGAUUUCCCAGGAGGUUCCAGGCCAGAGCCUGACCUGGGAUGGGAGCUGCGUCCAGAGUAACAAGGUCUGAAGGGGGCUUGGGGUGUUGCCCACUGACCUACCCUGCCAUGGAGGCUGGUGAUCCAGUGCUGUGAUGCUACGAUGUGACCUCUUCAACCAGUGAGUCACCACCUCCAGAUAACCACCGGUACUUUCAGGGGGAACUGCUGGUAUCAUUGUGGCUGUGGCCAUGGUUUCUCCAAAUUAAGGUGUGCUUAGAAAUGAAAGUCCAGGGACUGGUUUCCUUAGAUUUCUUGUCAUGGAUGCAUGGCUCCCCUACCUUUUUCUCAUAAAGACUCACCUGGUUUUCUCUUAAGUCAUAUGCUUUGGUACCAGCUUUAUAUAUUAAUAAUAAAUAGCCAACACUCUUCUAACAUGUUGGGGGGAAAACUGCCUAUUUUUACGUUUUAAUUUUUCCAUAUUUUCUAGAAUUGUCCAUCUGUAUACGUGUUUUUAUGUAGCUGUCAUCAGAGUGUGUCAGUCCGUCAAACCAGGAAAGCAAGAAUUCCAUCCAGUAUUUACCACAGAGGGAAUUUAAUACGGGGCCUUGGUUACACGGGCGAUAAAGAAGCUGAGAAACCAAACAUGGGAAGGCGAGGUGACCCAGAGCUUUGUGGCAGGAAGCCACUGCCACCUUUAGGCAGGAGGGACCAAGGGAGAAGGUAGCAUUUCCGAAGCCCAGGGUUGGGGUCCCUGGUGGCUGACCUAGAGCAGGCAUGGCUGCCUCUCAAAGUGCCCCCCCCCGAGAUAGGGGAAGAGGGGAGAAAUGCCCUGGCCUCUCCCCUCCUCCCACCCUCCGGUCUCCUGAGUUCCUGCUGCUGUCCACACCCCACCAGAUGCCCCUGAUGUAGGGCCUGGAGAGUCAGGGGUCAGCCCUGGGGGAUACAGAGCAGAACACGAGAGGAUGAGAAAUGGAUCCGAGGGCGGACGGGACCCAGAGCAGCCCAGGGUGCAGGGCUCCUCUUCUAAAUUAAUACCGUCAGAAGCAUUUCCUGAUGUUUUCCCGUGGUCUUCGUAAUUAUGCAUGUUAACUCAAGUGGACGGUUAGCCUGCCCAUUCCCCCAGCUGUAGGGUGAGUGCUUAGAAUAAUGAUAAAUCAGCGGUUCUUGAAGUGUGGGUCCCCACCGAGAGUGUCAGCGUCACCAGGGAACUUGCUAGAAAGGCAGAGUCUCAGGCCCCACCCUGGACCUCCUGAAUCAGAAAAAUCUGUGGGUGGGCCCUGCAAUCUGUGCUUUAAAAGCCCUCUGGGUGGGGGAGGGGGGAUGCCUACGCUCGUGUAGUUGGAAAAGCACAGUUACAGGCGAUGCCACACCGCGUCGAGGGGGGCGGGGCACGGGCGCUGAGGGUGCUGGUGCUUGGGCUUCUUUAUCCAGAGCGGCGUGGCGUAGCAGCAAAGGUGCAAGACUCCAGCGCAGUACGCUUCUGGGGUCACGCCUCACCCUUAACCUCCUUGUGGUGCCUCUUUCCUCUUUUGUUCAACGGCUAAAAAUAUCGAACCGUGGCGGCCGUAUCUGAGGAUUGAACGAAGUAAUGGCAUGAUGUUCCCUGUGUGGGUCUUCCGGAGCUGUGCAGAGGAAGUGUGGCAAGAGCAGCCGGCUUCUGCAGCAUAGAAAGUUGGCCUUGGAACCAGCGCUGGAGGUGUGUGGUCUGGAAGUCCAGGAUGAGCCCGCAGGAAGCUGACGAGCGAGCUUCAAGUCUGUAGGAAUCUUGGACUGAGGCUUGCGUGUUUGGAGUCAAGCGUCCCUGCCCCAUCCCGCUUUUAUUAGUGUUCUAACCUGACCCCGUGCUUACCCCUUCUUGUCCCUCUUGUCUAGCCACUUGGUGGAGUGGAAAGAAUCCUGGUCUCCCCCUGGCUUCCCGUGUUUGCAGCCCACUAAACCCUCUGCUUUGUCUCCCUGGAUAACCCUGGUGUGGAUCAGGUGGGCCGAUGGACAGGACACCUGCCUCGAACCUUAGUGGGCCCCAUGAGCAGAAAGCCUUGAGGGUCCACAUCUCUGCCAGGGCCGGCCUUGCCAUCCCCGUAGGCCUCCCCUUCUCACUCUGUUGUGGGAAGUGCUAAGUCGGAGUUUGUCGGCGAAGGCAGGCAGCUGGGUGCCCCAUCGUCCUGUAGGCCGGGGUCUUCCACUUGUCUUGCUCUUGAACUCCUCCCACAGCCCUAGCAAGUAGGGAGUCUUAUGAGAAGUAACCAAGCUCAGCUGCCCGAAGAGGAAGGGCAUGAGCGAACCCCUGGGGGGACAGACAGAGGCCCGCUCUGCCCCAGAGCCAUCCACGGAGUCACUACUGCUAAGAAGGGAAAGAGGAACAGGGUAAAAGCUCUUGCUGAUGUGUGACCAUCCACUGGGCCCCCAAGUCCUGCCUGUGUGUGGGUGGGAUAGAGCAGCCAAUGGGAGCCGGUUGGGAGGCUGGUUACCUGGAAGAAGCAAAGUCCUUCCCAUCGUCCUCCCUCUGGCAGCACCCAAGAGAAACUGUUUGGGCCAACAGGAGGCGGACCAGCCACCAUCCCACCCCAGGCUUUGGUGCCAUCCUCACUUAAUGGCUGAGGGACUGAGGCUCAGAGACGUCAAGUGGCUUACCUAAGGUUAAACAGUCAAGGAAUCUGAGCCCAGAUCGUGUGGUUUCUGGUCUGUUCUUUGCAGGACACCUGUGUGCCUUGUUGAGCCGGGCAUAGCUGGCACUUUUCCAGACGGUUUCCCACCCAUUCUGUGGGAGGCCCUCUGGGUGGGCAGAGGACAGUGAGCAGCCAGCAUGGGGCAGUCCUCGGUGUGAAGGAGCCAGCGAGUCAGCCUGAGCCCUGGGCGGGGCAGAAGCUGUGCCAUCCUCCAGCCAACAACUGUGAUCUGACUGUGUGGGUUGCCACUAGAGGUGACCUCAAAAUGAGGACUGAAGCCCCUGGGAGGAGAGUGCCAGUCGCUCCCACUUGGCCUGCACCUGGGGGCGAGCAGGUGCCAUCAUCCCACCCGGGCAGGGUGGAGGGUGCUUACCCGGCUACCUUCUCUAAGGUCGACUCAGCACAAAACAAUCUUAUCGUUCAAGGUCUGCUCAGAAUUGCUACCCUGAGGAGAAGGCUGUGGCAGAGCAGGGUGGGGCGUGAUAGCAAGGAACUCCCGGCCUGCUGGGGCAGGUCUUAAUGACUAAGUAACUGGUGGAGGCAGGACCUGAGCUUUUAACUCAGUAAGUAUAUGUUAUUGCUAAUGCAGCCAGGGACCAGCCGGGGAGCAUAAUUACCCGAGAUCUGCUUUACGGGCACUUAGGGAAGCACACUGGGCUGCACUAACCUAGGUAAGGAUGUGGCCACAUACACUUAAUAGGUGUCUCAAAGAAGCCUUUGCAGUAAUUAUUUAAACACUGGCAGGUGGCCACUGACUUGAUGUACCAGAACUUUUGGAGUCAGAAUUUUUUUUUUUCUUUCCUCCACUGGAUUUAAAUGUACUUGAGUUCUAAGCCAGCUCCCCCAGCCUCUGGGAAGCUGGCAGCUGCAUGGGGGGGGGAGGGGGUUUUUAGAAAACUCUGCUGUGUGUCUCCUCUAGUCUCAUUCAGCGUAUUUCACUUGUGACGCUUCUGGUGGCUGUGUGUGUAUCACGCACGUGUGUGCGUGGACGCACAAUUUCUCCCACACUGAGCAAUUCUCAGAUUCUUUGGACACUAGCUGAAUGUCCUACCUUCUUGAUCUGGACACUGUCUACCUGGGGAGAGCAUCAGCUGCCACGGGGAGAGGGCUCAGUCCCACGAGACCCGCCAACCCCCUCCCCACUGCAGAUGCCCAUCUCCAGGCCAGGUUGACACCUGCUCUGACCCCUGGGUUCUUGAUCAGGGGUUCCCACCAUCCCCUCUGAGGGCUCAGUGAAUUUGCUAGAGUGGCUUACAGAACUCAGGAACACAUUUUAUAGGUUUAUAGAAGGACACAAGUAAGGAACAGCCAGAUAGAAGAGACACAUGGGGCAAGAUAGGUAGGAAGGGCUCUGAGCCUCCAUGUUCUCUGGAGCAUGGCAUCUUCCCCAGGCUCCCCAACCCGGAAGUUCUCUGAACCCCAUCCUUUGGGGGUUUCAUGUGACUUUAUUGCGUAGGCAUGAUCGAUUAAGUCAUUGGCUAUCAGUGAUUGAGCUCAAUUUUUGGCCCCUCUCCUAUUCUCGGAGUGGGGAGCUGUGACUGAAAGUUCCAACCUUCUAAUCACACGGUUGGCUUCCCUGGUACCCAGCUGUCCAUCCUUAGGGACUUUCCAGAAGUCCCCUCAUUUACAGAAAUCCAGCUGUGGUUGAAAAGGGCUUGUUAUGAAUAACAAAAGAUACUCAUUUCACCUUCAUUGCUCUGGAGCUAUUUCAGGAAUUAUAACAAAAUAUGACAAAAGAUGCCCUUAAGGCUCUCAUCUGGGAAAUUGCAAGGAUUUUAGGAGCUCUGUGCCAGGAAUGGUGGACAAAGACCAAAUGUAGAUUUCUUAUUAUAAAUCACGGCAUCACAAGGAACCUCAGCAGAGUGGGGAUAAGUCCAGAAAAGUCAGCCUGAGCUGACUAGAUGGGCAGGUCUUGGGCAAGUCACGUCAGUUCUUUGAGCCUCAGUUUUUCCAGCAAUAAAUUGGGGAUAAUGAUGCCUGUCUCUUAGGGUUGUUAUAAGAUUGACUUAAUGCAUGUACAAAGCUUAGCUCGGCAUUUGUCACCUUGCUAAGAGCUGGUAAAUAGUCCCUUCUUCCCUUUCCUUGGUGUUGACCAAAUAAAAAGAUGGCGGAUUGCUCACCUAACCUAUAUACUGUGUUGACAAAGGAACUAUCACAUAGUAUGGCAGCCCCAGAAAGUUGGAAAAAUGCCUGUGAAGUCUCCCAGCCCGUCAGAUGCUGAAGUAGGUAAGCAUUUUAAUCCAAACCACUUUUAUGUUUCGCCCUGAACCGACAUUUCUGGGACGCAGGGCCUCUGGGUAUGGGGACUUGAGCUAAUUUGGCUUUAGACUAACUGGCCAGCAAAGCAAAGGACAGCCGUGGGAACGUGUCUUGAGCCUGUCCUUGACAUGGGCAUGGCUGGCAUCAAGGCCAGCCUUGUGGGCACGCUCAGGAGGGCCCUGUGCUUGGGCCAGUGUCUGUCGUCAGCAUCUUGAAAUUCUUGAUUUUCUUUGAGCUAGGCUUUUGUAAGCGACGUCCGAUGAGACAGUGGAGCGCGGGCUUGAGUGGAAGAGAUACGCAUGCACAAUGUUCCUUUCUGCCCUCACAGGACAGAAAGUCCUGACACUUUCCAUUUGAACCAGAACUUAAGAAAGACCAUGUCAUUCUAAGAAACUUUAAUGACCAAGAAAUCCUCUCCUACGCCUUCUUACUUGUGUGCUUUCCCCCUCUUAGCCAACCGCUCACACCGGAAAUGAUGACGUAGGAGAAGGAAAGCUAAGGCAGGCCAUAGCGCCUUUUCCUCUCAGCCCUUCCUCACGCCUCAGUAAGCAGAGGGUAGAGUGUUGGUAGGAUGUGCACGUACCAAAAAGUGAAGUAAGAGCAGGUGAGUGAGUUUUCGGCAGUAUUGCUGCUCUUCUGGUUAAGUCACGGUGUGUGUGUGUGUGUGUGUGUGUGUGUGUGUGUGUGUGUGUGUCUCUCCAAGCCACAGAAUGCAAAUUGUGUCAUUUCAGUGAUUUCACCUACUAGUGAAAUGCUCUUAGGUUUGGAUUUAAAACUGCAUUGCGUCACCUAAACAGCAGUGAUAAAAUACAUGCUACUAACUUAAAACUUUCACUUUUCUUAGAACGAUAUUAAAUAGCAAAUAAAAAAAACCACCAUAACAAGUCAGGACAGAGACUGUGGAAGGAAAGAGCUUUCUGUUUUCAUACCAUUAAUGUUAGUUUUUUCCUACUUUUUUGCUCAAAGGGCUCCACAUUUUCAUUUUGCCCUGGGGCCCACAAAUUACGUAGCCCGUGCUGGCUGGCAUCCCAGGGCUGGAGGUCUCAAGCUGGUCUUGCACCCACAGGCCCUUUGCUAGAUGCCUGGCCUCCUCAUACUAUCUUUUGGGUCUUAGGGCCAAGAAACCACAUAUAGACAAGUGAGCAUUGACAGUUGCUCUGAAGAUUCGAGGCUGUUCCAGGUGGUGGUUGGUCUGUUGAUAGAGAUCACAGCUGGGGAAUGCCAGAGGCUCCACACGGAAUCUUGUUGGAGGUGUUUGGGGCCUACUGUGCAUUCACUCUUGUGAAUUUUUGAGCUGCUUAGUGUAGAGGCAUGAGCCAGCAAUGGGCUGAGAGAGGCCCCCAGUUGAAUCCAGCUCUGGGUUGGUCUCCUUGGGCAAGUCAUUUCUUUCUGAAUCUGUGUCCUCAUCAAGAGAUCCUUGGUCUCUCCAUUGUAAUGUAGCUGUUAAGAGUGUGAGCCUCUUGGAGGCCAGUUCUUGGGUCAACUCUUGUUUUCACUUCUUCUGUAGUUCCUGCAUCUUGGGCAGGUUGUUGGAGCCUUGGUUUCCCCAUCUGUGAAAUGGGGAUAAUGGUAACUACUUUGUAGGGUAUUAAAUGAAUGCGGGGAAGGAAGUUAAUGUUGUGUCUGGUACAUAAUGUUGAAUAAAUGGCUGCAAUGGUCAGGAUGGUGAAGGAGGAAGGAACAAUGCCUAGAGGUGCUAGGACCAAAGUGGUAGCAUGUGGGGACCCCAGCAUUCAGGGUGUAACCUCAGAGAUUCUAUGAGUACAAAUACCUAUGGAACCUUUGCCUCAGCCUUCUAAGCAGCUCUUCGGACCAUGUGUUCCCGAAGUUACUGGAAUGAGGGGAAAAUCAGUGUUUGCAGUUUGAAGGUCUGAGUCCUUGUCCUCUCACUCUUCAUCACGUGACCCGUGACAGUCCCUUGCCCACCAAGCCUCACUUGCUUCAUCUGUAAAACGGAGCGGUGACAGGUGUGCCUGCCCUACAGCACGAGGCCCAGUAGAGAGGACACGUGAAGGAGUCUUUCAUAAGCUUAAAUUCAAGGUGCUGUGUUAGGAAGAGUCUAUGGUGAAUCUUCUGUGUUUAUUGAAAUCUUGCUCCCUAGUGUCAUGAGAGACAAGCAGUUGCUUUGCCUGGGCCUCGGUUCUUGCUCUGUGAGAUGAGAGGAACAGACGUGGGUGAAGCAUGAACCGCUCCAGGAGCAGGUUAUAAAAGAAGGAAGAAGGGACGGGGAGGGAGAGAGAGCAAGAAAACCCGCAGAAUUUGGAAUUGUCUCCUCACUGGAACCGCAAUGGCAGGUCUCAGGGACUCAGGAAGGGGUGCAACCCAGCCUUGCGGUUGACAAAUGUCAGAUGUUAGGAAGAGAAAGGCCCAUCUUACUGUAGCAGGGGUUUCUCUCCACCCCCUGCCUCCUGAGCCCCGGUAGCUUGUUACUCCCUGGCUAACAGCUUGGCUGCACAGAGGCAAACCACAGAGUACAUUUGAGGCCCAGAUCUGCUCAUUUCGAGGGUGGGGCCGCGUUUUUCUCCUGCCACAGCGAGCUAAUUAAAGAAAACAAGCUUUGGGAGUUGGGAGAAAACUGGCCACAGAGCACUCGGGGAGGGUCGCUUUGGUUGUGGAGGCCUCCGCAGUCCCCGGAAGGCAGGUGGAAGUGGGCAUCCAGGUCCCACACGUCCCGGUGGUGCCCUGAGGGCCCAGGCUGCUGAGCUGGGAGACCCGGAUGGAGAUGGCAGGAGGGCUUCCCUGGGAGGGGAGAUCAUCUCGGUUUGUGAGGGGACCUGUGUCGGUGUUUUGACGUGCUUCACAAAUAGAGUCCUGGGAGAGAGUUCCGGGGCACUUUGGGUUCUCCCGCCGGCCUCAGGGAAAGUGGGUGCCCUCUGUGUUCCCUAAGAGCAGCGACGCUCCGAGCUGGCUGUUCUUGUUCCAAGUCUCGGGGCUAGAAAGUGCACUGAGGACUCAGGACGUCUGUCUCCAGAAGGAACAUGCUCGUUACAUGGAGGGGGAGGCCAACAUCCAUUCCUGCUGUCUGACGACCACCCCUGCCCUCCAGGAUGGGAACCCAGACCCCUCCCGGCCACGUACUGUUUUAUGGAGAAGGUUCCACCUUCGCGAGGAAGCAGAGACCCAGAAAGGAUGCGACCUUUGUCCAGAGGCCCAGAGCAAGGAUCUGGGGACAAGACCAGUGUGUCAGUGUUAGCGACGUGACCUUCACAAAGUCGCCUGAAGACUACCCCGAUCCCUCCCACAUCACGGAGUCAGGGGGAGCGCCCGAGCGAGGGGAUGGUCGUUCGAGUGCUUCUGUUAGCUGUCUACGCUCUUCCUGAGGUGACCGAAGGGACCGACGGAUGGAAGGGGCUGAGAGAAAUCCCUGAACGGAGGCACACACUGGUCCACAUCUGCGGUUGGGGGGUGGCAUUUGCGGUCCUCUUCAGGGGAGCGUCCGUCGUGGGCCGCAGGCCUGGGAGCGCAUGGGCAUUUAUUUCUGCCUUCGGAUGGGCAGGGUUGGGGGGCGCCCGCUGUAAGGCAGUGUGGGGAAAACCCAGUCCCUGCCGUCCAGAGGUUCACAGUGUAAUUGUGCUUUUCACGGGUCACCUGGAAGGCCACCUGCUGAGAGGGAACACAAUUGACCCGAUGAAUCCUGCGGGCCCCCAGGCCCACUGUGCUGUUCACAUGGGAGUCUGGGGAAGUGCUGUGUGUGUGUGUGUUCAGAGAGAAAGGGGAGUAGGAUGAGUCAGAUUUACCCACUGUUUUUUCCCUUUUGAAAUGUGUUAUGCUCACACACACAGCAGUCAUGCGCUUGCACAGAAAUGUGUGAAAACCACUUAAAAUGUGUGAAAUGUGGCCCUUUUGAAAGUAUGCCUUACACCCACAUUGUCUUGAGCACCAGUGGAUUUGUGAAUGUUCAGUUCUUUCCUAAUCUACAGGAAUUUUGUGUUUGCCCGAGGUGCUCAUUCAGGGCCAGCCCCAACUGGCUCGUGUGUGUGGUACACAGGCGUGGCCUAUGUGUGAUAGAACCAAGGUUCUAGGGGUUCUGUUCUGUGAAGCAGGUGGACUUCUGGACUCAGUGGUCCUGGUGGGUCUGUAGCAGGCCGUAGUCUUGGAUGCGCUGGAAAGAACCCGCCACCACCACCUGUAGGCAGGUUAUGCGGCCCCCUAGCCCUGGUACUUCAAGUCCUCCAGAGCCAACCACUCUGUGGAUUUGCCUUCUCUGGGGGCCUCGGUUCCUUCCAGAUGAGGCCCAUCACAGCUCCUCCCCAGCCUGCUGAAUCCACACCCAUUGCCUUGCUUUGGCUCGCCCGUAUGUUUCCUAGGAUGCAUUCCCAGACUUCUCUGUACCUUUCUGUCUUUAAAACCCGGAGUGAGCCCCACCUCCUCUGUUGCAUCUUCCUUGACUAUCUAUCCCAGCUCACUGUAACCACCUCCCCUUUCUCUAAAUGGUCUCCUGAAUCACUUCCUGGGUCUGGCGCAUAGUACAGGCUCUGUAAAUAUUUCUGAAUGUGGCCGCGUCCGUGAUAGGUAACUUGCGUCUGUGUCAUUCAUCUACCCAGAUGGGAGGGCCAACUUCCCUGUACAGGAGUUGUAUCUUAGUCUCGUUUUUUAUUACCCCACCCUGCCAGCUUAUAAAAGCGUAGUAGAUAAGAUCCUGCAAGGCCUAGACAUUUCUCUCCCUGUUCUGUGUGGCGUCAGGCAUGGCUCACAGCCUCCUUGUCACUUACUUUCUAUCCUGCAAAGUGAGGAUAGUAAGAUGUACCCAGCCUGUAUCAAAGGAUACCGCGAUGAUCAGAAGAGAGUUUUUGGAAAACUACAAAGUGCUAUGCAGACAUGAGUUAUUAAUGGUCUUGUAGGUUAUCAGUAACAUGUGGCCUUGACAUUAAUGCUGGGUCCAGCGUGGAGCCUGAAGGGUAGGAGGAGAGCCAGUGUAUGCCGUGGACCCGGAGUCCAGGACCCCUGAGAUCCACUCACCAUCUUUGAGCCUCAGUUUCCUUGGCUUGACUACCCUUUCCAGCUCUGACACUGGUGGUCAUGGAGCUGUGUGGCAGGGGGAUGGGGAGGGGCGGGGGGGCUCCCCGCUCCCGUGUGGCUGGAACUCAGCCAAAACAAUCAGGAGGUUUUCCCUCCAACCUUAGUGUUUCUGGGUUGGCUCCUGCAGCUUUGAUGUCCCUUCGAGUGAUCAAGCUGGACCUCUUUUUUUUUUUUUUCCCCCCCCGUGCCUUACUUAUUGCUAGAUCUCCAUAAACACUCGCUUGGACUAAUGGGAGAGGCUGUUUGCACCAUGUAAGGUGGCAGAAUUUUUGUCACCCCUUUGCAGAGGUGUUGACAUUUAAGGGUGGUUGGGGUGAUGGCGCAGAGGGGACGCAGGAAAUCUGGAAGAAGGGAAGGGGGCCAGGAGCUGAGCAAUGUGUAUAACAGGCUCAGACUCUCAGAAGUGCCUGCCUCUGCUGUUUUGGUGGUGGGUGUUCAAAGGCAGGAAAAUAGAUAAGAUCAGAUUUCAGGAUUUUCACCCCCCCCUCCCCAGUUUGGACAGCUCGCAGCUUUUGCAGGGCAGGCAGGGCAGGGCCUGGGUAUUCUUCAACUUUUGUAACCCCCGUGCAGCGCGGCACUUGGGUAUGCAGCACACUCAGUGAACACGUGGCUGCCAGUUCUCAGGAGGUGGUCUGUGUAUACGUGAAGUCUUGGGUUAAAUACCAACCACGUGUCUGAUUCCAGAAGAUGGAGCUGCUGGGAAGAAAGGACUGCCCUUUGGAAGCUGUCUUCUCCGUCCUGUCCUUCUGCGUUUUGCGGUCACCCUUCCGGAUUCCUGAAUUCAGGGGUAUCUGGGCCUGGAAAGGAGUGAAGGCCCUCUUCGUGGGGUGGGAUGGUGUUCUACACACACUAAGGGAUACAAAUUCACACUGGCCGUGGGCAGUGCCCUUUCCCCAGUGGAUUUCCCAUUAGCCCCCUCUGUGCUGGCAGGUGCCGUGGGUAGAUGACCUUGGCGGGAAGCUUGGCACAAAUGGCCAAGUUGACACGGGAUCGCCGUAUUCCAUGCUAUCUUGUUAUCUUGUUUCCUCGAUGCUCAUUGUCACAUGAGAAAGGACUUCCUUUGUGGGCCUCCCUUCACAGAGCCCUUAAGUUCAUCAACUGCGUUGUCUGAAUGAAACCGUUUCUGUUCAGAGCUGGGAUCUUGUGGAACGCCUCCUCUGAGGAGCUCCCCCCCAAACCCCCAGCCCGUCUCCAUGUUCCCAGGAGACUCUUCUCGGUCUCCUGAGGCCUGAUUCUUCCUCCCCUUUUAGCACUGCUGUCUGCUUCUCCUUUGAGAGCUGCUGGGGGAGGACAGAUGGUGUGGCAUCCCACGAGCGAUCUUCUUCGAGAGUUUCAUCUCGUGGGAUGUCCCAGUGGCCGUUUAUCCCGAUCCGCUUGCUGUUCUCCCCCUGGGGCCUUGCUGACAAACUGCCCAUGUGCCAUCUCAGCUGCUCCAGCCCUGCUGCCUUUGCUCCUACAGCUCAGGACCCCAGAGAAAGAGAGCCUUGGUCUGGAGUUUCUGUCUCGGCCCUGCUGCUUGACUUUGGCCAAAUCGACUUGAUUUCUUUGCUCCUCCAUUUGCUCCUCUGAAAACAAAGGGGUUGGCCGAGGUGCUUUGGAAGUUCCUGUCCUCCCUGUCCUUCCCCUGCUGUCUCCAUGGAGGGCAGCACCACCUGUGAUCUGCAGUGGGAACUCGGGCUGGAGGGGCAGGCUGGGUGAGGGCACGGCACACCUCCACACCCUCAUGGAGACCCUGGACCCUGACCUGGGGGCAGCGAGUCCAGGAUGCCAGGAAGCCUCGGGGGUGUAAGGUAAGCAGGGCCCUUUGGGAAGUGAGGGGUGUUAUUCAGCCUUAUGGAAUGCCGAGGCCUGGCUGAGCCUGGGCAGGGCCCUGGAGAGGCUUGUGGCUGAAUUUCACGGCCUUGAAGAAUGGCUACUGUAUAUACCAGUGAUAAAUAUUAGUCACCCUGGCAGCUGAAGGAGGUUCCUGGGCUGCAUUUUUGACACUUCCAGAAAAGGGAAAGCCUUUCUCUCUGACAGCACACAGGAGGGAAAAACAAGACUGUCUCUCUCUGGGCUCAGGUGCCAAGAAAUUCUCUUACUGGGAUGGCCUGGCUGGAGCUCCCACGGGAUUUUCAGCCACCAGGGACCCAUCCCUGCCUGAGGCUUCGAUAUAGGGCCCGUGAAUGUCCCAGUGGCCAAGUCUGCUGGGCCACCUUUCUAGGCCUUGCUCGAGCACGUCCGCGAUCUAGUGUUGAUCUGCCUUCCUCCUCCCUGCCAUCUGCCUAGCCUCCUCCAGUUUCCCUUUUCUCAGGGAGAGGACCACCAUCCACCGAGUUGCCUGAGCCACACCUGGGGAAGUCAUCCCUGUCACCAUCUUUCUCUUCUUGCUCAUUCUCCCGCCCAUCGCCGAGCCCUGUCGGUUCUGCCUCCAGAGUAUCGACAACCAUCUGCUCCGUCGUCCUCAUCCAAAUCAGGGUAUCCCUGGCCUAGCUGUCCUCCUAACUGGUCUCUUGGCCUGCAUCCUUCCCUCUGCUGGCAGCCAGAGAGAUCUCUGUAAAAUGCACAUCCUACCGUCUGGCUCAUUUGCUAAAAUCAUUCAGGGGGUUUCUCUUGUCUUGCGGGCAAGGGUCUGAAUCCUCAGUGAGGCCAUGCAUCUGGCUUCACCUGCCUGGCAGGCCUCCACUCCCAGCUGGGCUCUCCUCCCCACUCUGGCCUUCAUUUACAUCUCCUUCCUCAGGGCCUUGGCAUGUGCUGUUCCUUCUGCCUGAAAUGCUCUUCCCCACAGUUUUCAGCCAAUGUGAGUCAGGUCUUAGCUUAACUACCCUCUCCUAAGAGAGCCCUCGCCGUUUCCCCCUGUUUAAAUUCUAUCCCCUGAUACGCUCUGCUCUCGUAUAGCUCCCUGUUCUUUUCCUUCAUAGCCCUCACCCCUGCUUGUAGUUCUAAGUCUGUGUGGUUAUUUGUUUACUGUCUGUCUGCCCCUCAAGGGCAGGGACCAUCUCUUUUGUUCUCUACCGUGUCCCAGGGCACAGGACUGAGGAGCUGGGUAAAUAUUUGAGGGCAUGAAUUGUAUGCGGAGGACGUGUCUGCUUAUGCUGCUCUGGUCCCGGCACCUUGGUUCCCUUGGGGCCUGUCCCCUACUCUCCAGGCCCCACUGAGUGCCCGAGCUUCCUGGCAUCACUCCUCUGGCAUCAAAACCUAUCCGUCCCACAUCUCUGUCUUUUGCAAGGUGACACUUUGUCUGAUUACCUAAUUCACACUAAGGUGUUCAAGGUGCUAAUGACAUAGUGUUUGUAACCCCAGGGGAUGCAAAAUGAUGGCAUCAAAACAUAUUCCUGCCUGGUGGUUUAAGACUCUUCAAGAACGGCCCAGAGAGCCCAAGUAGAGGCUGGUCUCCUUAGCCAGGUUCAUAAGGCCCCCGUCUGCACAAUUUGGCGUCCGUGUCUAAUCCUCCAGCCUUAGGUCCCCAGGCCUUAGUCAUCCUCCUCCCCUACCCGAGGCCCCCAGCACAGCACCUGGCAUGGGCAGGCCCUCAGUUAAUGUUUACUACGUGGAUUUAAAAGAAAUAGGGUUUAAUGACUCAUGCGUGAACGAAGUGUUUGGUGUAGCCAGUCUUUUGGGCUUUGGAUGCCAGGGGAAAGGCACAUGGUGGGAACUUCAGGCCUCGUGGCUGUGAUCGUGCCAGGAGACCAGGGGAGAGGGAGCUUUACGUGGGUAGAGGGACAUGGCUCUUCCGGGCCCCCGAAUCCAGAUCUCUCCCCAGCUACCAUGCCGAACACACCGCCCGAGCCACCUGUCCUUCUGGCCCGCGUGAGCUUUCUCCGCUCUUUGCUUUCCAAGGCGCCAGCGGAGGGGAGAGUCUUGUCACCGCUUCCUCCUCCUCGGCUGGUGCAGUUUGUGGCCAUCUGCAGGCCGAGGCCAGCGAAGCAGCGAAAGGCUGAAAAUCAUGCCUCCAGGGGAGCAGGUUUCCCCUGCCCCUCCCACCCCUGUUAAGGUCACGUUGGUUUGUGCAGCCCAAUCCGUGCCUGUCUGGCUGUGUUUAAGACAUGGAUGGGGCCUCCUCAGAACCUGUGCUCCCACCCCCGCCCCACAGUCAUGGGUCCUGUGCUAUGCCCGCCCCUCCCCCAACCUCCCCACCUCCCCCUGUGGAUGUGGCCUGAGGACGGAGGCAGGAAGGAUGAGUCUCGGGUGCAAAGUGGAUGGCGGUUGUUGAAAAUGAGUGGGUGAGCUUGGCAUAGAUCGGUCUUCGGAGGGGACGAUUAUCUGGGGCAUGAGGCUUCCGUGACACGUCUGGCACGGAGAGUCACCCUCCCUCACCUGGAUGACUGAGCCUCCCCUCCCACCCCCCUGGGGCUGCUCUCCCCAUGUGCCUGAGGUGAUCUUUCUAGAGGCAGAUCUUGCCCUGGCACCUCCCUGCCUAGAAUCCAUCCCAAGCUCCGGGAGCCUCGGGGAUGACUUGGCGUGUCCACUGGGAUCUAUGCCAUGUCUCCCAACUCUCUGUCAGCCUUGCCCUCGGUGGCUGUGGUAUGGACUUUUCCCACCUGGCCCCUGAAGAUGCUGUUAGAUUGUAUAUUGAAUGCGAACCAUCGGGACUCUUGUGAACGCUAGCAUUGCCUGGGGAGUAAAUGAUCUCAAGUACCACAUUGUGGGAGGGGUCUUUGAAAAUCACUGGAAUCCAGAAUGAUCCCUCUUUGUCCCAAAUGGUCAAAAAUCUCCACUCGGGCUCGAGUCCUGUCCAUCCUUUGCUCUCGCCCUGUCCCAAGCCAUUUCUUACCCCCCAUGCUUUGCCUCAUGCUGAGCCCAGAAGGUCCCACCAUCACUGGAGCACACUUAGUUCUCAGGCACCAUGAUAUGUCAAAAUCCUGUGUUUCUGGGUCUGUCUUCUCCGUCCUAGACAGUGGACCUCUUGAGAAGAGGAGCUCUGUGGGGCCGAUCUCUGGGUCAGAAGCUGGCGGAGUGUUGGCGCCCAGGUCACACACUGCAUGUCGCCUCUCUGGACCCCAGGACUCUGCCUUGUGUGGGUUCUGUUCUCUGGACCGUAGUGGUUCUAAACUGAGCUCUGGUCCCUGUGUAUGCCCUGUGGUUUAUGACUUAAUAUGCUGAAAAUAGACAGUUGUGUUUCAUUUUCACUUGGGAAGAAAUAAAAGGAGUGGAAAUCUAGAGAUUUCUCUGACCUGGAGGUGCCUGGUAGAGUGGUCACUUAGUAAAUACUUUGCAAAUGAAUGCUCAGGAGAAUAGGCACUUUGGAGCCUCUAGUGCUUGGUGAUGAGCCCAUGGCUUGUUAAUUUGUAAGACACCAUUUCCCCUGUGAAAAUCUUAGUGUGGGGGAAUGCUUUUUGUGGGGAAUGCUGGCUUGGACUGACACAGGCUUUGCGGGGGCAGUCUUGAAAAAUUGAGUCAUUUUUCUCUGCCUGGGGCCGGGGUGACCUUGCAUAAGUCGCUGAGCUGGGCCUCGUGAUUGCUUUCUAUAAAAUGGGUGGAAGGUGGGAGUGGCCCGUGUGGCUGCCGAGAGUUUUCUGCUCUCGCGCUGCAUCUCGCUCUCUGAUCGUCCUUCUUGGCGAUUGGAUACAGACCAUGUCCCUAAGGUUCACUCACGGAGCUGGAAUUCUCCCUGGCCUCUCUGAGUGCUUUCCAGUGGGUGGAAUGCCUAGUUUCUCAGUAGCCGGGAGAAAUGUUAAUUUGGGGUUAGGAAAGCAAGCCAAGAGCCAUCGAAUAAUUAAAACACACACACACGCAGAGAAAGGAAAGCGAGAGGGGGAGAAGCACACUUAAUGGCCAGGGGAUGAGUAAAGCCCAGUGACCUGAGCGAGCCUGGAGCUGAACUUCACAUGACCCCGCGUACUGCCUGCCGUUGCGACACCCGCGUGCCCUCUGCGUGCCGCCGGCCUCUCGGUGAUGUCAGCGGGCCGUGGCCCCACAGGAAGCUGGGCUGCCAUCUGCCUGGUGGAGCGCGCGAAGCUAAGCCAGUCUCCCUCCAUGGCCCAGGUCCCAGCCCCCCGUGUCCCCGGACGGCAAGAAGCCACAGCUCCCAGGCUAGUCGGAGCUGGAAACCCACCCGGCGCUUCUCAGAAGAACAGAACCCCAACCCACCAGCGAGAACGAGAGGACCAAGAGGGGAUUGGUUUUUGUUUUUUUGUUUUUUGUUUUUUGGGUUUUUUUAGGGGCUCUUGGCCUGAAAUCACAUUUCUU